UUACCAAUCAGCCUGGCUCCCAGGUGCCUUUUUCCAGCUCAGAAGGGGGAAAUUACUCUGCAGAACAGGAGCCAUUUACUCAGCACCAAAGCAUGCCACCCAUUUCUUGCCCACUUCAGCUUCCCAAAGCAACAGUCCCUGGAUCAACUGUGUUGUUUACUGCCAAUCAAAUGACACCAGAAGAUCAAGAUUUGAGCCCAGCCCACCAGUCUCAGGCAAAGUGCAAGCCACCAUACGAGGAGGUCCCCAACACAAAUGCUGCUGGUUUUGCUGAAGACAGCAAGAACUGACUCACGCUUCUCCUAAGAAGGCAGCAUGGGGGCAAAGGAGAGAAAAGAAAACUGUCUUUACUCAGAAUCUCUUGUUUAUUUAAUCUGCUGGAAAUAAAAAAAUUAUUUAUACUUUGUAAGUUAUAUAUACGUACCUUGAAAAUAAGAAGAGGUAAAAUAACAUAUUAGACAAUAAGUUCCAUUGUUGUUGCUAAUGUUGUUCUUAUUUGAUGUUUAUGUAUUAAGUGUAUAAUUGCUUGCUGAGGAAAGCAGCAGCAACUUUUCAAUGCAGAGUCGAAGGCUUUCAUGGCCGGUGUUUAUUUUAGCCAAUAAACUGAGCUCAAUCCUUUA